rnacentral:lncRNA from 1 species
UUUCUGAUAUUCUUACACCAGAUAUGUACGAAAAUGAUCUGUCCUGUUGGUGUAAUUAGGAAUGUCCAUGCAGAUACAGUUAAACAACUGUAAUUGACUGUUCUGUAAAGUUAUUUUGGGCAAAGUUGCGGAGACACAUUCCUCUGUCCACCUAAGAAAUCAGAAGACUCUUCUGUUGAUUUAUGUUUAAUCAUUUCAGUAGUUUCCCCACAGUGAUCAUUUCUGCAUUUUCUGGCUUUUGUUUUCUUGGCUGAAAGUGAAUGGUGACUGUUAGGAAUGUCAGGGACUAGUGACCCAGUCCUGUUUCUCUGUGUUUUAGUUAUUAAAAAGAAAUUCUGUACCCAAAGUGACACGAAAGUGUAGUCUACAUUUUUACUGUUUCAGAAGCGGCAUGGAAAAGUGCAGUUGGCCUUUGGAGCUGGAAGUGUCUUGCUGGUGAGGCUCCAUCCUGGAGACACUGGUGGGGAGUGGGCUGGCGCUGGGGCCCUGCCGGCCGCGUGCUGGAUCCUUCCUGGCUUGCAGGAGAGCAGGCGUGGAGGACAGUCAGCUUGCGGGGCCGCACAGGGUGCACAGAGUGCAGGAGGAAGGUUUUCACCCAGUUAAACAGACUGGGGAGCCCCCCCAAGAACGCCAUCCCUUGAGGCCAGCUGUGGGCAGGCCUGGAUGUGUGGUCCCUUCCUUCCACCCAUCAUCAGUAUUGUAUUGGUUUGUUAAUUUGUUGAUUUGGUCAUAGUAUUUAAUAUGAUUUGUGUUUUCUUAUUUAUUUAGCCACUGUUUUGAUUCCCUUUUUUUUCCGAAUGGUAAUUUCUGCAUGAUACGCUUCUGUACGUUGUCUUCUGACUGUUACAGACUUUCUACUACCUCUCCCGAUCUGCUGUUUCCUUGUUUCUUAACAGGAUUUUUUACAGUGUUGCGUCUAAUGUAACUUAGACAAUAAAGGGUUUGGUUGUCUACACUGCAGCUUCUCGGUGUCUCUACCCUGCUUUCCGCUCGCUGCUUCCCGCUCUGCCCCUGCUGGGGCCUGGCUGCACCCUGGCCUGCCUUCCCACACUCUCCUGUUUCCCGCUCAUAUCUCUUCCUCAUUUUUGCGUUCAAAUAACACACAGCUAAUGAGCUUCUAAAAAUCUUUUCAGGUUGUUCACUUGUAUUCCUUAAUUUGAAGAAUGAAUAUUUAAAUUCUCUCAAAAGUCAGAUAUUGAGGAUCUUCUCUGGGAAAUUGGCCACUGUACCUGCGCAGCCACCUUUCUGCCUGGUUCCCUGGAAGGUCUUAUUGUCAUCUUAGACGGACAGAUUUCAUUCUCAGCACCAUACAGAUUUGGCUUCAAAGCCAGAACGUUUUGUUCACUGAGCAAAAAAAAAGAUGAAACAACCACAGGCCAGGACUUCAAGUGAGGAGGACGCCUUUGUUUGCUGUGGUUGGUGGGAGCACACGCUGGAGCCCGGUAACAUGCCUGUGGGAGUGACCAAGGGCCACCCGCCCAAGGGAAAAUGUUCAUUCUUCAUCAGCUUUGCUAAUUCUACUUUGAGGCAGUAAAAUGCAAAAGACCA